CCUACGGGAGGCAGCAGUAGGGAAUAUUGCUCAAUGGGGGAAACCCUGAAGCAGCAACGCCGCGUGGAGGAUGAAGGUUUUCGGAUUGUAAACCCCUUUUGUUAGAGAAGAUAAUGACGGUAUCUAACGAAUAAGCACCGGCUAACUCCGUGCCAGCAGCCGCGGUAAUACGGAGGGUGCAAGCGUUACUCGGAAUCACUGGGCGUAAAGAGCGCGUAGGCGGGAUAGCAAGUCAGAUGUGAAAUCCUAUGGCUUAACCAUAGAACUGCAUUUGAAACUGUUAUUCUAGAGUAUGGGAGAGGUAGGUGGAAUUCUUGGUGUAGGGGUAAAAUGCGUAGAGAUCAAGAAGAAUACUCAUUGCGAAGGCGACCUGCUAGAACAUAACUGACGCUGAGGCACGAAAGCGUGGGGAGCAAACAGGAUUAGAUACCCGGGUAGUC
rnacentral:rRNA from 1 species